rnacentral:rRNA from 1 species
UACAGAGGGUGCUAGCGUUAAUCGGAUUUACUGGGCGUAAAGCGUGUAUAGGCGGUUCGUUAAGUCGGGUGUGAAAUCCCUGGGCUCAACCCGGGAAUUGCAUUCGAUACUGGCGAGCUAGAGUACGGUAGAGGGCGGCGGAAUUCCGGGUGUAGCGGUGAAAUGCGUAGAUAUCCGGAGGAACACCGAUGGCGAAGGCAACCGCCUGGGCCUGUACUGACGCUGAGACACGAAAGCGUGGGGAGCAAACAGG